CAUUAAUAAUGAUCUUCUCUCCUGGUGUGCUGUACCAACUGGCUGGUACAUUAUAGUUUUGGAAAAUAUUGUGAACCAAGUUAUAUCUAUGUCUCAUAUCAUUUUUUGUGUUUAUGUAGGAUGUUUGUUCUGAGAAAACUAAAAAUACUUUGUUUAAAUUGGAUCACAUUUUACCAGUUAAGUGAACCUUACCAAUGACAAUAUUGAUAUGUGGGAUGACACAAGGAAGAUACAACAACCUAAGAAUGGAUAGCUUGUGCUAGAAAAUCAAUUACAAAAUCUUAUAUGGCUUUUCCUCCCUGCCAGACGUCAUUCCGGCAUGUUGCGUAUAUUAAUUCAUGUAAUGCCACCACAAUCCAUUAUUAACUGUAUUUUACAGAUGAAAAAUCUGGUGCUGUGAGGAGCUUGCCCAGUGGCACUCAUGCAGCUGGCAAUGGCCAGAGCCAGGAUUGGUGCCAAACACUUGACUCCAGAAUCCCUGCUCUUGACCACUAUUCUACCCACUCCAUACCUAAAUCCCA
rnacentral:lncRNA from 1 species